rnacentral:lncRNA from 1 species
UCGCUUUUACGUCAUAAGGAGUAUUGCCGACGACAUGACUACCUAGCGGACAAGGUUUCGCAAAUCUAACCGGAUCCUUGAACUUUAGUGGAGAAGGCACUUGAGUCAUUAAUAACAUCGGCUCAUCCUCGUUAGUACUCAUAGUUAGUUCAUCCCCACUUGUCUCCUCUUUUUCAACAUCUCGUGUCUCAUCCAGUUGUAGAUUUGGUUCGGGC